rnacentral:lncRNA from 1 species
GGUGCCCUUUCUUCUCCAUUUUUCUUCUGCCGCAUUCCUCUGGUUUGGUCCCCCGCAAACCUUUCCCCUCUUGUCCCGCCUGAUUUCUCCAGGAUCUUUAGGGUCUUUGUUUGAAAUAUCCUCCGGCACCUCUACCUCUAGUGGUUCCAGGAGUUCGUCCGCCUCAGCCCCCCAGAACCCCCACACUGUAGACGAACCAAUAUUUAGGGCUGGGCCUCGCCC